AGGUAAUUGUAUGACAAUGGAGAGGUGAUUACUGCGCUGAAAAUCAGUUUCCUGAAGUGAAAAAGGGAAUCAAGUUACGUCACAGAGCCUGGUGUGAGCGGCGCUCUGUCAACACCAGCUCUUCAUGGGUUGUGGUUUCCUCCAGUUCCUGGAUGUGUGGAGUUCAUCCUCCACUGACUGGCGCCCCGGUUGACAAUGAGGUCUGAGACGGGGUUUCGCUACACUGCCCAGCCUGGUCUCCAACUCCUGUGUGCAAGCGAUCUGCAUGCCUUGGCCUCCCAAAGUGCUGGGAUUACAGGCAUGUGCCAGCAUGCAGGGCCUCUGCUGGGUUUCUUAAAGGAGAAGACCAGAAAUAGCAUCCAUUCUGCUGCAUUUUAUUGGUCAAGGA
rnacentral:lncRNA from 10 species